rnacentral:tRNA from 1 species
GCCGAGGUGGCCCAGUCUGGUACGGCGCAGGCCUGCUAAGUCUGUGGGCGCAAGCCCUCCAGGGUUCAAAUCCCUGCCUCGGCGCCA